rnacentral:rRNA from 1 species
UAGGGAAUAUUGGGCAAUGGCCGACAGGCUGACCCAGCCAUGCCGCGUGCCGGACGAAGGCGCUCAGCGUUGUAAACGGCUUUUAUCAACGAAGAACGUACAGGGUGCGCCCUGUAGUGACGGUAGUUGAGGAAUCAGCACCGGCUAACUCCGUGCCAGCAGCCGCGGUAAUACGGAGGGUGCAAGCGUUGUCCGGAUUUAUUGGGUUUAAAGGGUGCGUAGGUGGUGGGUUAAGUCUGGUUUGAAAGCUGGUCGCUCAACGAUCAGAUUGGGCUGGAAACUGGCCGACUUGAAUCAGGUAGCGGUGGCUGGAACGGGUCAUGUAGCGGUGAAAUGCAUAGAUAUGACCCAGAACCCCGAUUGCGAAGGCAGGCCACUGGGCCUUGGAUUGACACUGAGG